GCAAUUAACAUAAGUUAAUUGGGUAGGGAGCGUUCCUGCAUGGGAGAAGCCUGACCGGAAGGACAGGUGGACAGGCAGGAAGAGAGAAUGCCGGUAUGAGUAGCGAAAAGAAGGGUGAGAAUCCCUUCCACCGAAAGCCUAAGGGUUCCUGGGCAACGAUCGUCGUCCCAGGGUAAGUCGGGACCUAAUCCGAGGCGGAGACGCGUAGGAGAUGGACAACAGGUUGAAAUUCCUGUACUGGCUGAGGCCGUUUGAGCGAAGGAGUGACACAGGAAGGAAGGCGCGCGUGCGAAUGGAAGAGCACGUCCAAGCAGGUAGGUCGGGAGACAGGCAAAUCCGUUUCCCGUAAGGCCGAGAUGCGAUGGGGAGCUUCUGGAGACAGAAGCGAAGGGGCUGGCACUAAACUGUCGAGAAAAGCUUCUAGUGAGGACUCAGGCACCCGUACCGAAACCGACACAGGUAGGCAGGAUGAGAAUUCUAAGGUGCGCGGGAAAACCCUCGUUAAGGAACUCGGCAAAAUAUAUCCGUAACUUCGGGAAAAGGAUAACCCAGCGUACGUGAAGUGCAGAAGCGCAUGGAGCGGAGAUGGGUGGCAGAAGAGAGGCCCAAGCGACUGUUUACCACAAACACAGGCGUCUGCUAAAGCGAAAGCUGAUGUAUAGAUGCUGACACCUGCCCGGUGCUGGAAGGUUAAGAGGAAGUGUUAGCGCAAGCGAAGCAGUGAAUUGAAGCCCCAGUAAACGGCGGCCGUAACUAUAACGGUCCUAAGGUAGCGAAAUUCCUUGUCGGGUAAGUUCCGACCCGCACGAAAGGUGUAACGAUUUGGGCACUGUCUCAACGAGGGACCCGGUGAAAUUGAAGUACCUGUGAAGAUGCAGGUUACCCGCGACUGGACAGAAAGACCCCAUGGAGCUUUACUGUAACCUGAGAUUGGAUUCCGGUAAGAGAUGUACAGGAUAGUUGGGAGGCUGAGAAGUGAGUACGCCAGUAUUCACGGAGCCGCUGGUGGGAUACCAACCUUGUUUUAUUGGAAUUCUAACGAGAAGCGUAACGAGCUUGGCAGUCUCAGGCGGGCAGUUUGACUGGGGCGGUCGCCUCCGAAAGAGUAACGGAGGCGCCCAAAGGUUCCCUCAGCGCGGACGGAAACCGCGCGAAGAGUGCAAAGGCAGAAGGGAGCUUGACUGCGAGACGGACAGGUCGAGCAGGGACGAAAGUCGGGCUUAGUGAUCCGGUGGUAGAGAGUGGAAUUGCCAUCGCUCAACGGAUAAAAGCUACCCUGGGGAUAACAGGCUUAUCUCUCCCAAGAGUCCAUAUCGACGGGGAGGUUUGGCACCUCGAUGUCGGCUCAUCACAUCCUGGGGCUGAAGUAGGUCCCAAGGGUUGGGCUGUUCGCCCAUUAAAGUGGUACGCGAGCUGGGUUCAGAACGUCGUGAGACAGUUCGGUCCCUAUCCAUCGCGGGCGUAAGAAACUUGAAAGGGGCUGCUCCUAGUACGAGAGGACCGGAGUGGACCGACCAAUGGUGUACCAGUCAUGGCGCCAGCCGUGCAGCUGGGUAGCUACGUCGGGGACGGAUAAACGCUGAAAGCAUCUAAGCGUGAAACCAGCCUAGAGAUGAGGUUUCUCAUUGU
rnacentral:rRNA from 1 species